rnacentral:lncRNA from 1 species
UAUAGGGUGUCGUUCGCCCCUAGUAAUUGGCCAGGGCCCAGCGACAACUGGGAGUGGAGCACAGGAAAAGUGCUUAGUGCCAAUAGAAAAUAUUAUAAAAACAGAACUAUCGAGUUACGCACUCGAGUAAGACAUGAAUUGGCCGAAGCUGGAAGACAAAGACCAAAUUCAGGAGCAAGAGCAAACUCAGAGAACAUAUGGAAAAAUUUUAUUCGGACCUUACUCCAAAUGAACUUGACGAGUUUAUGGAAUCUUUUGAUUGGACGAUUCCCGCUUCUGAAGGUAUAUAUACUUGUCUAUUUACUUUAUUAUUGAUUAUUAGUAUUAAUUAUAUGUUUGUUUUUCAGAGGAGAGGGAGGCUGCCCG